ensembl:lncRNA novel transcript
GCGCUGAAACCAGGGAUUUUAGUAGUUAGCCAUCCAAAGCAAAUAACAGUAAAUCCUGUUCAAAAGUCUGAGGAAUCACUGAGAAUUUGCAUAUUAUGGCAAACACUUUGCAAUUCUUGAAGGAAUGGGUGCUUUCUGUAUCUCAAGGUAUUAAUCUAUGUAUUCAUGUUGUUACACAUUGUAUAACAAUUCCUUGUCCAUCUCUUCCCACAGUUUGUAAGCUCUUUCAGAAAAGGGACUGUCUUUGUUGCUUUUAUAGCAUGAGUACGUGGCAUAUCACAGCAGUUAUUAUUAUAAACAUUAUUCAUUAAUUUAGUGAAUUAAUUUUCAAUUGAAUACAAAUAAAUAUUUUAAAUUAGGAACAUUAUUGCUAGAUUUAUAUGCUCUACUAAAAUAGUUGUAGUAACUGUCCAGAUUACAGGAAGAAUACUGAGGCCUUCUCUAGAACAUAAAUUUGUGCAUUCAUUAUGACAAUUGGGCCCUUCUUACUCAUGGUACUAAUUAAAACACUAUUACGUGUACUUGGCAUUGAGCUCUUAUCAAGAACUAAUUUUCUUUUUGAAAAUUAGUAGAAACAGAAGAAAACAGUAGAAAACAGAAGAAAAUAUCAGUCUUAAAAACUGAUUAAAUCUUAAUGCACAAUUAUCAAAUUAUUUGAAUAAAACAAACAACUAUAAGGAAUGAAAAGAAAGUACACUUGGAAGAGGGCUAAGCGGGCAACUUGAAAGACAAGUACAUGAUUUGACCUUUUGACUUGGAGUUUUAUAUGUUGGCAUGAUUCCAGGGUCUUGUGUUCUUUCUCCCCUGAUUCUUCCCUUUGGGUGGGCUGCCGACAUGGGUAGUGGCCUGCUGGCACUUGGAAGAGGAGCAUGCUCAGUGUGUUUACUGGAUUUGUAUGCUUGUUCACUUCAGGCAUCCUUCCCUUACCAGCUGAAUGUCCCUAGGAGAUCAUAUACCAGUUAAAUGCCACCAUUUUGCCUCCUAGUGUGCAUGUGUGAGCCCACUCACCCAACUCCUGACAUCUUACUGGCAAACUGCUGAUGACCAGCUUCUGGUGUUUCUGUUUGCUGGAGUACUGGCUUUCUCUGGUGCUGGCUGUGACUAGUUAUUAUUUUAGAGAGACAGUUAACAAUAGCCUGACCAUCAGUUGUUGGUCGCCUGAUAUUCCUGGUGUGUUUGUGGUUGGGGGAGCCCUCUUCUGCUCUGCUCAUGUCUGACUAGCAACUUACUGUAUCAUUUUUAUGCUAUGAAGAUAGCUUCUUCUCCUGAACCUCCUGAACUAUCUGUUUCAAACUUCUGCAGCUUCCUCACCUCUCUCAGUGUUCAUGGAAUUGAACAGAGUUCUGGCCUUGCUCUAGAUUAGACUUUGGCUUAAGAGAGUUCUGGCCUUGCUCUAGAAUGUUGUGGCUGGUUUGGUCCUCUAUCCAGACUACUACAACUUUCUCCAUAUCAGCAAUAAGUCUAUUUUGCUUACUUAUUUGUGAGUUCAUUGCAGUAGUACUUUAUUUUCUUUAAGAACUUUUUCUUUGUAUUCACAAUUUGGCUAACUAUUGGUUCAAAAGACCUAGCUGUCAGGCUGCCAUGUCUUUUGAUGACAUCCCUUCCUCACUAAGCUUAAUCGUUUCUAGAUUUUGAUUUAAUAUGAGAGACAUAAGACUCUUUCUUUCACUUGAACACUAGAAGCAAUUGUAGGGUAAUUAACUGACCCAAUUUCAAUAGUGUUGUACCUCAAAGAAUAAAGGGGCCUGAGGAGAAGGAGAGAGAUAGGGGAAUGGCCAGUUAGUGGGACAGUCAGAAGACACACAUUUAUCAAUUAAGCUUUCUGUCCUAUAUGAAUGCAGUUCAUAGCAUGCCACAACAAUUACAAUAGCAUCAUCAAAGGUCACUGAUCACAGACCAUCAUAACUGAUAUAAUAUUAAUGAAAAAGUCUAAAAUAUUGUGAGAAUUACCAAAACAUGACACAAGGACACAAAACGAACACAUGCUGUUGGAAAAAUGGUGCUGAUAGACUUAUUAAAUACAGGACUGCCACAUACCUUCAAUUAAAAAAACAUCUGCAAAGCGCAAUAAAGUAAAGCACAAUAAAAUGAAGCAUGCCUGUGCUUGAAAGAGCUAGGACCAUAUUGACUUCCUAGGAGACAUGACAAUCCAAAAAAUAAAUUUUCUUAUUAAAAUAGUAGAAUAACGAAUUGUAAUAGUAAUAUAAUCAUGACAAUGUAGUGGCGAUUACCAUCGACCCCCUAAAGUUUCACUGAAAAAUCUCUGGCAGGGUUGAUUCAUGAGAGAAAAGGUAUACAAUUUUAUUUAACAUGUAUACACAAGUGCCUUCAGGAUGAAGACCCAACUAUCACGGAUGCCACUGGCUGGGGACAGUGCUGCUGGUGGCAAAAGAAUUUUCCAAGGAAGACGUGGGGAAAGAAAGGCAGAUUUAUUAGAGAGAAAGUAUGCUGCAGGGAAGCAACAGGCAGCACAGCACAAAAGAGGCUGUUUACAAAGAGGCAGGGGUUGGAACAGCAAGACCUGAUACUGAGUUGUACUGGAGGGGCUGCUUUCAGAUAAGGUGUGCAGAUAAGAUGGUGCUGCUGGGGCUAGGAGGUAUUUGGGAACAGGAUGUCAUGCCAGCCGUUGUCUGUGAUUAGCUGUCUUUCCAAAGAAACAAUUGUUCCCCCCACACCUGGGAUCCCUUGCUCUUGUUGCUUAGCGAACUUAUCAGGACUCCACACCAAAUUUCUAAUGAGUUACAGAAACUUAUAUAUCAUUCUGAGGUUACAAAAAGAAAGGGGGCUUGGAUUCUGGUAAAAUAGGUUAUAGGAGGAGGCAGAAAAGGAAUUCUAUUGAGAGGCAAUAAAUUAUUGUUAGGGAGAAUAAUUGGACUCAGGAACAGAGAUUAACUUGUAAAUAGUUUUCAAUGGGAUAUAAAUGAUCUUUGGAGAUAGUAAAAGUUUCUGCUAAGGUGUGAAUCUUGUCUUUUUUUUCUGCAAUAGAUAAUGUGAUAACAGAGAGGGAAGGAAAAAACAAUUGUUCUUAGUGGGUUUGGAUCUUAGGCAGAUAAAGGAACUUAAGUUCCUUUAGGAGAGACAGUGGGGACUGGUAGUGGGGCGGGGGGAAUGGUCAGUGGUUAAGGGAGACCCUGAGGCUUCUCUAGUUUAGCAUGUCAAAAUGCCAGAUUUUGGGGUACUGAUUUCGGAGCCCCAAAAGCAAAAGUAGCAAAUCCUGAAAGACAGGAAUACGUAUUUGUAAAGGUGCUGAUAUGCAAUUCACACUGAAAAGCAAAAGUGUAUUGCUGACAUCCUAGAAUUGACAGUGACCAAACAUGAGUUGUGGUGCUUGUCUUAGUUAU